CUGACAUCCUCUCUUUGCUGCCCAAAAAUGUUGAACUGAAGGCCAAGAGUACUCAAUAUCUUCGUGCUGCAUCUGAAAGAGAGUCUUUGCUUUUGGAGAUCAACAAAGCUGAGGACGAAUUGAAAGAAAUCUCUUCCGAAGUUAUGAUUGAAGACUCUUUGAUGACCAGUUUGGCUGCACAGAUGAAGGAGCUUCAAGCAAGGAUGGAUG
rnacentral:lncRNA from 1 species